UACAGGGGGGGGCAAGCGUUGUUCGGAAUUACUGGGCGUAAAGGGCUCGUAGGUGGCCAACUAAGUCAGACGUGAAAUCCCUCAGCUUAACUGGGGAACUGCGUCUGAUACUGGAUGGCUUGAGUUUGGGAGAGGGAUGCGGAAUUCCAGGUGUAGCGGUGAAAUGCGUAGAUAUUCGCAAGAACACCAGUGGCGAAGGCGGCUCACUGGCCCGAUACUGACGCUGAGGCACGAAAGCGUGGGGAGCAAACAGG
rnacentral:rRNA from 1 species